UGGACAUUCAGGAUAGUGGAUCUAGUAGAGAUGCCCUACAAACAUUCAUGCUUUCCCCAAAAAAAGUCAUUGCGGAAUUGUUUGUCUAGCUCUGCCACUGCCGGCGAGCACCCUCCCCCUUCCUCCUCUAACGGUCCAGCCGUCAGCCCUGCUAAUAAUAUGAAGAAAUGAACUAAUACAUGCUCCCAUAUGAUCCAUUUUUCAAAAAAAAAAAAGUACAAGAAAAACGUACGUAGCAGCACCAGAAGUUACACUCGGCAGACUAGGUCCCAGCCUCCCAGGUAACUAAGGACGUAUUAGUUCUAGGUGAUUCCCUUUUAUCCUCGGCCUUUGGCUACAACACUUGUGACACUUUCUUUUGCUGUAAUCAGUGAAUGUGAAUGCAGCGCUGACUGCUUGUUACACUUGACUGCAUUCCCUGCAACGCACUCCACCAGUUGGCAGAAACAUUUGUACAGAAGCAUUGCACCGAAGCAUUCAAUUUGACUCAUGCUCAUCUGGCCGAAGGAUGAACGAAUACUCAGAGACGGGGCUUCAUCACUACCCAGGCAGCCGAACACCACAUGUGAAAUACUUCGCCCUCGCAAGGCCUGAUGUUAUCGUGACGAUUGUGUACGUAGCUGAACCUGCAGUGACAAUAUAGCUGUAAGAAUUUUUUCUAAUCCUCGGCACCAAAGAAUUAACAAUAAGAAAAUGAAAGAAUAAAGAACAGACUGAUGGAGUACAUACGUACCGAGAGCAGUCGGCGUCCGCUACCAUUGGAGCAGUGAAGACUCUACUGUCGUCUGUUUGAUUAGGAAGAACAAUGCCAGUCCUCCCGGGC
rnacentral:lncRNA from 1 species